UACAGAGGGGGCAAGCGUUGUUCGGAAUUACUGGGCGUAAAGGGCGCGUAGGCGGCCUUCUAAGUCGAACGUGAAAUCCCCGGGCUCAACCCGGGAACUGCGUCCGAGACUGAAAGGCUUGAAUCCGGGAGAGGGAUGUGGAAUUCCAGGUGUGGCGGUGAAAUGCGUAGAUAUCUGGAGGAACAUCGGUGGCGAAGGCGGCAUCCUGGACCGGUAUUGACGCUGAGGCGCGAAAGCCAGGGGAGCAAACGGG
rnacentral:rRNA from 1 species